AGGCUCUCAGGGCUGGUCCCAUCGACAUGGUCUUGAACUGCCCUUUGGGAGCGACAGCAAUGGGACUGGAUUGGGGGCUCCUGUCCGAGUGGACACAGGAGACUACGGUUGCCAGUGCAACA